UCCGGCUUAACGCCGGCAGUCUCCUUAGAGUGCCCAACUGAAUGCUGGCAACUAGGGACGUGGGUUGCGCUCGUUGCCGGACUUAACCGAACAUCUCACGACACGAGCUGACGACAGCCAUGCAGCACCUGUCUCCCGGUCUCUUACGAGAAAACACCGUCUCCGGUGCGGUCCAGGGAUGUCAAGGGUUGGUAAGGUUCUGCGCGUUGCGUCGAAUUAAACCACAUGCUCCACCGCUUGUGCGGGCCCCCGUCAAUCCCUUUGAGUUUCAGCCUUGCGGCCGUACUCCCCAGGCGGGGCACUUAAUGCGUUAGCGCCGGCACCCAGGGGGUCGCUCCCCCAGGCACCUAGUGCCCACCGUUUACGGCGUGGACUAC
rnacentral:misc_RNA from 1 species